rnacentral:rRNA from 1 species
CGGCUCAGUAACACGUGGACAACCUACCCUUAGGUCGGGGAUAAACCCGGGAAACUGGGUAUAAUACCCGAUAGAUCUCGACUGCAGGAAUGCAUCGAGAUCCAAAGCUCCGGCGCCUAAGGAUGGGUCUGCGGCCUAUCAGGUAGUAGUGGGUGUAGCGUACCUACUAGCCUACGACGGGUACGGGUUGUGAGAGCAAGAGCCCGGAGAUGGAUUCUGAGACACGAAUCCAGGCCCUACGGGGUGCAGCAGGCGCGAAAACUUUACAAUGCUGGAAACAGCGAUAAGGGGACCUCGAGUGCCAGGUUACAAAUCUGGCUGUCGUGAUGCCUAAAAAGCAUUGCAUAGCAAGGGCCGGGCAAGACCGGUGCCAGCCGCCGCGGUAACACCGGCGGCUCGAGUGGUAACCGUUAUUAUUGGGUCUAAAGGGUCUGUAGCCGGCCGGAUAAGUCUCUUGGGAAAUCCAGCAGCUCAACUGUUGGGCUUUCAGGAGAUACUGUCUGGCUCGAGGCCGGGAGAGGUGAGAGGUACUUCAGGGGUAGGGGUGAAAUCUUGUAAUC